AUUUCAAGUGAAUGAUAAUGAAUCUAUAAUGUCACUUAAGAAAUCAUGCACUCUGAUGAACUGAAGGAACUAAAUGGAGGAUAUUCCAAGUUGAGUGUUAAAGAAAAGAGAAAGCAUCUUGGCAGAUAUCUUUGGGAGGAUUUUGUAGGAAAUUCAACCUUACAUGGUCUUCAUUACGUGUUUCAAAAACGUCCAGGAUUACAACGCUUUAUUUGGCUUAUUCUGCACGGUUUUAUGUUUUCUUUAUUCAUAUGGCAAACUUCAACAAUUGCUCAGAAAUAUUUGGAAUUUGAUGUGACCAGUUCCAUUGAAUUGGUAACUGAAGAAGAAGUAAAAUUUCCAGUCAUAACAUUUUGUAACUUCAACAA